UGUUGACGCAAUAUUUUCCCUUUGCGAAUGCAUUUGGUCCCCUUCAACCAGCUGUAGCAGUGAUUGCAAUCAACAGU
rnacentral:pre_miRNA from 1 species